AUGAACAUCGGCCAGCUCCGUGCCGGCCCCCGCGCUAAUACGGAGGAUGGGGGCGUUAUCCGGAUUUAUUGGGUUGAAAGGGUUCGCAGGCGGCGUAUUAAGUCAGUGGUGAAAUCCCUCCCCUCAACCGAGGAACUGCCAUUGAUACUGGUAUGCUAGAGUAUAGUUGGCGUAGGGGGAAUAUUUUUUGUGGCGGUGAAAUGCUUAGAUAUGAAAUAGAACACCGAUCGCGAAGGCAGCUUACCAAACUAUAACUGACGCUCAGGAACGAAAGCAUGGGGAGCGAACAGGAUUAGAUACCCUGGUAGGCCACGCUGUAAACGAUGAUUACUCGUUGUCGGCGAUACACA
rnacentral:rRNA from 1 species